rnacentral:ncRNA from 1 species
GUCGUCGUGCGGCGGGGUCUGAAAGAAGCGCGUAGCAAAGCCAUGACCUGACGAACGGAAACCAGAUACGAGGCCUAUCGGGCUGGACGAGCAAGCAUGUGAUUGCGAAGUACAUAACCAUCAAGAGCCUGGGUGGUAAAUCUGGCAGGCGUGUGGCGAAGGCGGUUGAGC